AAAAAAAAAAAAAAAAAUAUUGUGAUACUUCCCUGAGACUUGGUAGGAAUAUUAACAUGCAUUAAUUCCUUCUUUCAUUUCCUUUCACAGGAGAGACAGUAGCCAAUGGUGAUGACACUGAAGCACAUCAUAGCACGCUCUCGCACAGUAGUAAAGAGGGAUCACCAACAAAAGACACCUCCCUAACAGAUGACUCCAUCUCAAAGGAUAAGAAAAAGAAGAAGAAAGGUCUUCGCACCCCCAGCUUUCUUAAGAAGAAAAAGGAUAAGAAGAAGGAGAAAGAGGCUGCCCACCAUUAGUGCCCACAUUUUUCUCUUGAACUUCAACUCAUGUCUCUGGUAGACCAAUGCUGACACUGCCAGAAGUUGUAGAUAGCGAAAAACAAACAAA